rnacentral:rRNA from 1 species
GAUGAACGCUGGCGGCGUGCCUAACACAUGCAAGUCGAGCGAUUCUCUUCGGAGAAGAGCGGCGGACGGGUGAGUAACGCGUGGGUAACCUGCCCUGUACACACAGAUAACAUACCGAAAGGUAUGCUAAUACGGGAUAACAUAAGAAAUUCGCAUGUUUUUCUUAUCAAAGCUCCGGCGGUACAGGAUGGACCCGCGUCUGAUUAGCUAGUUGGUGAGGUAACGGCUCACCAAGGCAACGAUCAGUAGCCGACCUGAGAGGGUGAUCGGCCACAUUGGAACUGAGACACGGUCCAAACUCCUACGGGAGGCAGCAGUGGGGAAUAUUGCACAAUGGGCGAAAGCCUGAUGCAGCAACGCCGCGUGAGCGAUGAAGGCCUUCGGGUCGUAAAGCUCUGUCCUUAAGGAAGAUAAUGACGGUACUUGAGGAGGAAGCCCCGGCUAACUACGUGCCAGCCGCCGCCGCAGUAA